ensembl:snoRNA SNORA70 Small nucleolar RNA SNORA70
AGACAGAGAUACAACUUGGGGCUCCUUUUUAGUCCUGGGGAUCUGGAAUGCUAUGGCUGUAAACAGCAGCCUUCUCCCUAGUAUUGGCAUCCUGUUGCUUAUAUGGGUUACCCUAAGGGAUCCUGGAGACAGCC